AUUGAACGCUGGCGGCAUGCCUUACACAUGCAAGUCGAACGGUAACAGGUCUUCGGAUGCUGACGAGUGGCGAACGGGUGAGUAAUACAUCGGAACGUGCCUAGUAGUGGGGGAUAACUACUCGAAAGAGUGGCUAAUACCGCAUGAGAUCUACGGAUGAAAGCAGGGGAUCGCAAGACCUUGUGCUACUAGAGCGGCCGAUGGCAGAUUAGGUAGUUGGUGGGAUAAAAGCUUACCAAGCCGACUAUAUGUAGCUGGUCUGACAGGACGAUCAGCCACACUGGGACUGAGAAACGGCCCAGACUCCUACGGGAGGCAGCAGUGGGGAAUUGUGGACAAUGGGCGCAAGCCUGAUCCAGCAAUGCCGCGUGCAGGAUGAAGGCCUUCGGGUUGUAAACUGCUUUUGUACGGAACGAAAAGCCCCGGGUUAAUACCCUGGGGUCAUGACGGUACCGUAAGAAUAAGCACCGGCUAACUACGUGCCAGCAGCCGCCGCCG
rnacentral:rRNA from 1 species